rnacentral:ncRNA from 1 species
GAAAGAUGGUGAACUAUGCCUGAGCAGGGCGAAGCCAGAGGAAACUCUGGUGGAGGCCCGCAGCGAUACUAACGUCCAAAUCGUUAGUCUGACUUGGGUAUAGGGGCGAAAGAAUAAUCGAACCGUCUAGUGUC